rfam:Candidatus Magasanikbacteria bacterium RIFCSPHIGHO2_02_FTLL_50_9b rifcsphigho2_02_scaffold_55981, whole genome shotgun sequence.
GGACGCUUAGCUCAGUUGGUUAGAGCGCCUCGUUUACACCGAGGAGGUCGUAGGUUCGAACCCUACAGCGUCUA